GUGGGGAAUAUUGGACAAUGGGCGAAAGCCUGAUCCAGCCAUGCCGCGUGUGUGAAGAAGGUCUUCGGAUUGUAAAGCACUUUAAGUUGGGAGGAAGGGCAGUAAGUUAAUACCUUGCUGUUUUGACGUUACCGACAGAAUAAGCACCGGCUAACUUCGUGCCAGCAGCCGCGGUAAUACGAAGGGUGCAAGCGUUAAUCGGAAUUACUGGGCGUAAAGCGCGCGUAGGUGGCUUUGUAAGUUGGAGGUGAAAUCCCCGGGCUCAACCUGGGAACUGCCUCCAAAAAUGCAUGACUAGAGUACGGUAGAGGGUAGUGGAAUUUCCUGUGUAGCGGUGAAAUGCGUAGAUAUAGGAAGGAACACCAGUGGCGAAGGCGACUACCUGGACUGAUACUGACACUGAGGUGCGAAAGCGUGGGGAGCAAACAGGAUUAGAUACCCUAGUAGUCC
rnacentral:rRNA from 1 species